CAAAGGCCACAGGGACACGUGCACCCACGCAAGGGACACACAUGCCCGUGCAAGGGACACGGGGACACACGUGUCCAUGCAAAGGCCACAGGGACACACGCACCCACGCAAGGGACACACAUGCCCGUGCAAGGGACACGGGGACACACGUGUCCGUGCAAAGGCCACAGGGACACGUGCACCCACGCAAGGGACACACGUGCCCGUGCAAGGGGCACAGGGACACACAUGUCUGUGCAAAGGCCACAGGGACACGUGCACCAAUGCAAGGGACACACGUGUCUGUGCAAGGGACACGAGGACACACAUGUCCGUGCAAAGGCCACAAGGACAUGUGCACCCACACAAGGGACACAUGUGCCUGUGCAAGGGACAUGGGGACACACGUGUCCAUGCAAAGACCACAGGAACAUGUGCACCCAUGCGAGGGACACACGUGUCCAUGCAAGGGCCAUGGGGACACACGUGUCUGUGCAAGGGCCAUGGGGACACACGCGUGCCCGUGCGAGGGCCAGGGGGACACACACACGCGCGUGCCCGUGCGAGGGCCAGGGGGACACACACACGCGCGUGCCCGUGCGAGGGCCAGGGGGACACCCGCGGCGGCACUCACGGUCGUUGCAGACGGGGCCCCCGUACGCCGUCAUGGUGCAGUCGCACGUGUAGCCGUCCCACUGCUGCAGGCAGACGCCCUGGUUGGCGCACGACUCCUCGGUGCACGUGGUGCUGGGGCCUGCGGGCGCCGGCGCGGAGGGGUGACCCGGGCGCCCCCCCACCCCGCGCCCCCCCAUCCCAUGUCCCCAUGUCCCCACGUGUGGUCACGCGCCCUCGUGAGCCCUCGUGCGCCCGUGUGUGCCUUUGUGCACCCUCGGGUGCCCUCGGACCCUUCCUGUGCACCCUUGUGCACCCCCGCGAACCUGUGCACGCUCCUGUGCACCCUUGUGCACAUCCCCGUGCACCCUCGUGUGCCCCCUGUGCACCCUCGUGUGCAUCCCCGUGCACCCUUGUGCGCAUCCCCGUGCACCCCCAUGUGCCCCCCGUGCCCCCUCGUGCAGCCCGUGCACCUCGCACGCCCCAAGCACCGUGUGCCCCCCGUGCCCCCCACCUGCCCCGCGUGCCCCGUGCGUCGCACGUGCCCUGCUCCCCCUACGCNNNNNNNNNNNNNNNNNNNNNNNNNNNNNNNNNNNNNNNNNNNNNNNNNNNNNNNNNN
rnacentral:lncRNA from 1 species